CUCUCAAAGCCACAAACUCACCUGCCAGCCUAAGCGAGAUGCAGCACCCGUUAUUAAUCAACGUCUACAGUGAGGGUAAAUCACCACAAACAAACAACAGGUUGCCUCACUGGCCAAAACUGUGUUUUCUUAAAGCCUUUUCAAACUAAGAAGUGUUGUAUCUAAUGCAGGUGGUUUUAUGUGUGUUUUAAACACCCAAGUUACUAAUAACAAAAAACUAAAAUGUAUUUUUUUCCGUCUUGGGCUUUCCUUGCUUCAUCGAUGCCUAUCUGUGUCUUUUGCUCUCAUUCAUGCAUUUUUUAAAGAAACAAAUAUUAUUGCAGGCGAUUCUUUUCGUGCACUCUGUACAGCUUACGUAAAAAAAAGCGACGAUGACUAUGAAUGAUGUAAAAGAAAUCAAACAUUUGGAGGGAUCUGACAUCCUUUACUGUAUUUACUGUAGUCACAAUGCAAACAAAAAUUGUAUAAGCUUUUUCUUUUUUUAAAAAUGCCAUAGUUUAUGCUGUAAUAAAGUGUUUCACGAUGCACAACUGUUCAUGAAAGGCAUGAAACGUUUAGGUUUGACGUGGGAAGAUAGCCAUAAAGGUUUAGUGGACAAAGAGAUUGAUAAAUGAUGAAUGGAUGGAGGGAUUCAUAUUUCUACUAGCAGUUUUGUAACUACUGAAAGAGUAACUAUAACUACAUAUUUUAUUGUCUUAUAAAAGGUACCAAAACAUAUAUAUAUGAAAUAAAAUAUGCAGCAUACACCAAAAUUAACUUGAAAUUUGAUUUAGAAUAUAUUGAUCAUAUAAAAUCUAAUUAAAUUUGUAGCAUACUAUCUUAAUAAGACAUAAAUUCGCUAUAACUAAGCAAGUACGGUAUUACAGAAGUAACAUUGGCAUGUGCUCUUAAGAGAAUGAGUCUAAUGCAUGUAGUCCGUACAUAUGAUUCAUAAGGGCUUUGUAUGUCAAGUAAGUCGCAUAUUUUCUUUGGGCAGUUAUAGGAUGGAAAUCUAUUGUAAAAAGGUUAAUCACAGCAGAAGUAUCCCAUUAAAUAGAUGCUACCUUUCAAUGUACUUUACAAACCUUUUGUUGUUUUGGUUGAGGCCCAUUUGCAGAAUGAAUCAAGGUACAUAAUCGGAUUUUGAAAAUUACAUAAUGUGUUGUGUAAAUUAUUACAAAUGCCACUACUGUUUGAUUUGUGUUUAAAUAAACGUUGUCCUUUCCGUUUAACUUCAGUGGUGCAGGGGAUGUGCAAAUAUCUAUCAUGUAAUUGUUCCUUUUUAAAGUAUUUUCUUUUCAUAUUUUUAUAUCAAUUGAAUCACCCUUUUUUGGCCAACAAUGGAGGACAUUAUGCUAAAAACUGUAAGAUAUUGUGCUUCAACUGUA